UACGGGGGGGGCAAGCGUUGUUCGGAAUUACUGGGCGUAAAGUGUGCGCAGGCGGCCGCGCAAGUCGAGUGUGAAAUCCCCGAGCUUAACUUGGGAAUUGCGCUCGAAACUACGUGGCUGGAGUGUGGCAGAGGAAGGUGGAAUUCCACGUGUAGCGGUGAAAUGCGUAGAUAUGUGGAGGAACACCGAUGGCGAAGGCAGCCUUCUGGGCCAACACUGACGCUCAUGCACGAAAGCGUGGGGAGCAAACAGG
rnacentral:rRNA from 1 species